UACGUAGGGCGCAAGCGUUGUCCGGAAUUAUUGGGCGUAAAGAGCUCGUAGGCGGCUUGUCGCGUCGGAUGUGAAAGCCCGGGGCUUAACUCCGGGUCUGCAUUCGAUACGGGCAGGCUAGAGUUCGGUAGGGGAGAUCGGAAUUCCUGGUGUAGCGGUGAAAUGCGCAGAUAUCAGGAGGAACACCGGUGGCGAAGGCGGAUCUCUGGGCCGAUACUGACGCUGAGGAGCGAAAGCGUGGGGAGCAAACAGG
rnacentral:rRNA from 1 species